rnacentral:rRNA from 1 species
GAGCGCGUAGCAGUACCGAGCGGCAGAACGGGAGAGUAACACGUGGCGAACGUGCCCUUCAGUUCGGAACAACCCAGGNAAACUUGGGCUAAUACCGGAUACGUCCGUAAGGAGAAAGAUUUAUCGCUGAAGGAUCGGCCCGCGUCUGAUUAGCUAGUUGGUGGGGUAACGGCCCACCAAGGCGACGAUCAGUAGCUGGUCUGAGAGGAUGAUCAGCCUCACUGGGACUGAGACACGGCCCAGACUCCUACGGGAGGCAGCAGUGGGGAAUAUUGGACAAUGGGCGCAAGCCUGAUCCAGCCAUGCCGCGUGGGUGAUGAAGGCCUUAGGGUUGUAAAGCCCUUUCGGCGGGGAAGAUAAUGACGGUACCCGUUUAAGAAGCCCCGGCUAACUUCGUGCCAGUAGCCGCGGUAAU